GGCGUCCGCUCCCUCCGCGGCUCAUGGCGACGACGCUUGGCACAUCCGGGACCCUCAGGCCGCUGCAGUCGCGUCGCCGGCUGCUCGGGCCCCAGCCCCGGCCGCUGUGGUGACUCCGCCGCGCCUCGCCGUCGCCCCCGUCCCGCCCGCCGCCCCAGCCGCCAGGGACAUGUCUAACCUCGGAGGCCGUAGGAACGGGCCUGUCGAAGUGCGCCUGACAGGAAUCAUAUUGACAGGUCAUGAAAAUGAGACCAAAAGAUCUCUGGAAGCGAUUAAUGAUAAAAUUUCAUGGAGAAGAAGGCCUUGACUACGGAGGGGUUGCCAGGGUCUCCCUCUGUCACCCAGGCUGGAGUGUAGUGGCGCGAUCUCGGGUCACUGCAACCUCCCCAAGCUGGGCUCAAGAGAUCCUCCCACCUCAGCCUCCUGAGCAGCUGGGACUACAGGGUGAUGACAACUCCGUGAGGGUGGAGAUUAUACAUCUCUCAUCAUUUCAGCAACAAGGAAAUAAAUUAGUGGCAGAGUAAGGGUGACUUGAGAUCUCUUGGAAGCGAGGAUCCUUUAAAAAUCCUGGAAUAUACACUGCAGUAAAAGAACAAAGCAUACCUCAGCCUUAAACGACUGAAGAAGAAUGUCAAGUGGGGAAGUGGCUUUGGUUUUCAGUUUGUGGGUUCUGAAUCCACACAAAGACAGGAUUGCUUUCUGAAAACCUGAAUUAAUUAUUGUCCUUACCUCAAUAAGAC
rnacentral:lncRNA from 1 species